AUUGAACGCUGGCGGCAGGCCUAACACAUGCAAGUCGAACGAGAGGCGGACGGGUGAGUAAUGUAUGGGAGACUGUCUGAUGGAGGGGGAUAACAACUGGAAAAGGUAGCUCAUACAGCAUACCAUCAGAUGUGCCCAGAUGGGAUUUGCUCGUAGGUGGGGUAACGGCUCACCUAGGCGACGAUCCCUAGAUGGUCUGAGAGGCUGACAAGCCACACGGGAACUGAGACACGGUCCAGACUCCUACGGGAGGCAGCAGUGGGGAAUAUUGCACAAUGGGCGCAAGCCUGAUGCAGCCAUGCCGCGUGUGUGAAGAAGGCCUUCGGGUUGUAAAGCACUUUCAGCGGGGAGGCGUUACCCGAAGAAGAAGCACCGGCUAACUCCGUGCCAGCAGCCGCGGUAAUAC
rnacentral:rRNA from 1 species